GACGAACGCUGGCGGCGUGCUUAACACAUGCAAGUCGAACGGAAAGGCCCUGCUUUUGUGGGGUGCUCGAGUGGCGAACGGGUGAGUAACACGUGAGUAACCUGCCCUUGACUUUGGGAUAACUUCAGGAAACUGGGGCUAAUACCGGAUAGGAGCUCCUGCUGCAUGGUGGGGGUUGGAAAGUUUCGGCGGUUGGGGAUGGACUCGCGGCUUAUCAGCUUGUUGGUGGGGUAGUGGCUUACCAAGGCUGUGACGGGUAGCCGGCCUGAGAGGGUGACCGGGCACAUUGGGACUGAGAGACGGCCCAGACUCCUACGGGAGGCAGCAGUGGGGAAUAUGGCACAAUGGGCGGAAGCCUGAGGCAGCAACGCCGCGUGCGGGAUGACGGCCUUCGGGUUGUAAACCGCUUUCGCCUGUGACGAAGCGUGAGUGACGGUAAUGGGUAAAGAAGCACCGGCUAACUACGUG
rnacentral:rRNA from 1 species